UACAGAGGGUGCAAGCGUUAAUCGGAUUUACUGGGCGUAAAGGGCGCGUAGGUGGUUAUGUAAGUGAGAGGUGAAAUCCCCGGGCUUAACCUGGGACGUGCCUCUUAAACUGCAUAGCUGGAGUACAUGAGAGGGUAGUGGAAUUUCCGGUGUAGCGGUGAAAUGCGUAGAUAUCGGAAGGAACACCAGUGGCGAAGGCGGCUACCUGGCAUGAUACUGACACUGAGGCGCGACAGCGUGGGGAGCAAACAGG
rnacentral:rRNA from 1 species